GGAAGAUCUAUCCAAAUUGCACGUACCGUACAGAGCUAGGUGUUAUGGUACUAGGUCUCCUCCUCCAUUGAUGAAGCAACAGAUAGCCAGAGACUUGCACAAGGAAGCCAAAAACACCAACCCACACUUGAAAACGUAUAGAGAAAUGCUUUAUUCUUUCAGAAAUGCUAUAGGCAAGAGGUGGUGAAGACAGGCUUAGCUGGUGUCCCCGUGCAGGGGUCCAGC